GAGCUGUCAGUUCAGUUGUCCCAAUGUCCCUGUCCGUACAGAGCUGCGUACAAUCCGUAGUCUACAACACGUGUUUGUUUAUCCUUUACGCUAUCGUCCCAUUGAUUACUUUUUUAACUUCCUCGUUAAAUCUGCACUGAAGAACAAAAUCCCGGAUGGAUUUAAUUUGCUCGACCUGGAAAAAUGUGACACCAUUGAGAAAAAGACGAGUAAAAUUGGCGUCCGAUUCAUGAAGGACGGUUUAAACUGUUUAAUUCGACAUCAACAUGAAAGUGUGGCUGGUUUUGCUGCUUUGGAGCUGGUGAACUACAAUUGUUUUCGUUCGCUGCUGAAGAGAGAUAGAUGCCUUUUACAUUCAAUCUUCAGGUUACCAUGAGAGCGGUCCACUCUCAUGGUGGUUAAACUGGGGUCGGAGCUUCUAAGAAGGUGCAUUCCCGAGUGGCGCCAUCGUUCGUGGUGCAUGGAUCAGUGUCAUUUUGAAUGGGAAUCAAAGCAGGAUGGAGACUGUCGGUUCGUCUCUGUGUCAUAUCACGGCCACGGAGUUUUAGGAUACAUCCGCACUUGGGUGCAAGAACAACCCCCCCCCCCCCCCCUCGUAGGCCUUUUGGCUUUUGUUUCAGGCGUCGGCAUCUAUUACGCUGUCUAACGUCAAAGGCGGGUCAGAACAGCAAAAAGAAAAAGUGUGAUGGUGACAUGCCGUGCGGUCCGAAUGUUGUAAACAUUCGUGUUCGGGAUGACCUGACGCGUUCUCUUCUCCGGUUGCCUUUGUAAUCCUUGGACAAAAGGAAAUUUCAACUGGGACAAAGGCACCCCUUGAUAGACUUAGGACUACAAGCCUACAACACAUCGUCCAGUCGUGUUCGAAGAAUCCUUAAAAAAGCCAACGAUCCUUUAUAUAUCAGAGCCGAGUCCUUUCCGUCUACAUUCGGUGUGAAGAGCAAAACCCGAAUUUCAACCCAUUUUACUGCUUAGCAACGAAAACAAAGCGAGUGUCAAAACAUUGUUUUACUUGCGCAUACUUUAUUGUGGCAGAAACGCGUUGGUCAUGUAACAGGGUGAAAUUUUUUUUUCCCUUUUGUUCAUGCAGCAUCAAACGACACGCGAUAGGUUCUAGCGGUAAUCAACUAUUCAAGAUGGUAGACCUGUCAAUGUAAAAGACAGGAUUUUCUUCUCCGACCGCAGGUGCAAGGAUUAUGUGUUUGAAACUUAGAAAAGUUUGCAGUAGAAUAUUUAAAAAAAAAAGCCGACUGUCUUUCAAACGGUUCGAAAUGGAAGAUUUAUUCAUUCACCGAAGAAACGAGUCAAAUGACUCAAAUGUCAAAUGUGGUAUUUUUAAAACCCAUCCCCAGCAACGUUAACCUGCAGAAAGAAAAAGGC